rnacentral:rRNA from 1 species
AUUGAACGCUGGCGGCAGGCUUAACACAUGCAAGUCGAGCGGAGAGAGGUAGCUUGCUACUGAUCUUAGCGGCGGACGGGUGAGUAAUGCUUAGGAAUCUGCCUAUUAGUGGGGGACAACAUUUCGAAAGGAAUGCUAAUACCGCAUACGUCCUACGGGAGAAAGCAGGGGAUCUUCGGACCUUGCGCUAAUAGAUGAGCCUAAGUCGGAUUAGCUAGUUGGUGGGGUAAAGGCCUACCAAGGCGACGAUCUGUAGCGGGUCUGAGAGGAUGAUCCGCCACACUGGGACUGAGACACGGCCCAGACUCCUACGGGAGGUAGCAGUGGGGAAUAUUGGACAAUGGGCGGAAGCCUGAUCCAGCCAUGCCGCGUGUGUGAAGAAGGCCUUAUGGUUGUAAAGCACUUUAAGCGAGGAGGAGGCUACUUUAGUUAAUACCUAGAGAUAGUGGACGUUACUCGCAGAAUAAGCACCGGCUAACUCUGUGCCAGCAGCCGCAGUAAGAC